GUAGUUCAGUUGGUUAGAACGCCGGCCUGUCAAGCCGGAGGUCGCGAGUUCAAAUCUCGUCGGUCC
rnacentral:tRNA from 1 species